UAAUCUAGUUUAUUUUAUUUGUUUUAUACUAAAAAGUAUAAAUAUACUUCCUCUUUACUUAAAAUAUAUCACUUUUUACAUAACAAUAUAUUUUAAGUAAAACAAUAGCAAUUUAUUUGGGUAGCUUUUUGUAUGAGUUUGUUGUGUACAAGAAAUGUUAUAAAAGUGAGUUGAAAUACACAAUUUAUUUGAGCAGCUGUCGAUGUGGCAUGUGUGUUCAUCAAACUUAAAUAUUUGAAAUAAAAAACACAUAAAAAUUAAGUUGGAUUUAUCCCUUUUUCACUGGCGGGGACUUUCCAAGGCAGAUGCUUCCUCGGCACUUCAACUGUUUGAAAGCUGCAGCGGAUCUAAAUUUCACAGACUGAUUAACACGUCUCCGGUGGGGCAUGCAGCUGUCGUGGGGUCCUCGUGUUAUCAGCAGCAGAGUUGUAACCAAGCAUUUUUGUUACCUGGGGUCUUCAGAUACAGGAUCCAUCUGCCUAUGUGGAGAAAAGGAGAGAAGUGGUACUGAGAUGCCUGAUUGAGUACAUGUGGGAGGGAAAGGAAGACCUCAUCAGUGUCCACCACAGUCAUGAUGAAACAGAGGUGCACGCUGAGCUUGGCAGUUCCCCACUGAAAAUAUACAUGCGCCAUCAGCCAUACACGAUUUGGAUUAUCACAGUAGAAGGACAGCCCAUGGUCAGAGGUGUGCCAAACCUGUAGAAAACCUCCUGUUUGGACUUGUCUAUGCCCACAACCUCUAAUAUCACUCAAAUCUGGUGUAUACUUCUGAGAUAUAUCACAGGCUCUUUGUGGGAUUGAACCCUAUGCAUACCUUUGUAUGUUUUGUAGGCACUGUUAAAAGUGACACUAGUUGAUAUUGAAUAAAUGUUAUUGUCUUUAAUCUGUCUUCCCAUCUUUUUCUUCUUCAAUUGAAUUUGUAAUUGUUAUUGAUAAAGUAUGUUUAUGUAAAGUGAUUUACUGUACUGCUUAGAAUAUAGACAUUUAGAUGUAUUUU